UGAGAGUGUUUAAGGAGCAGCUAGGACCUGGUUCGCAGACAAGAACCGCUACCAAGCUGUCUUUCAGCGGCGUGUGGGCUCAUGAGGAGCCUCUUCGGUUAGAGGGUCUGGGUUUUGGCUGGAGAGCGACCCAGAGUUGGGCUGUUUUGUGCUGGACAGGAUGGACAUCACCAUGGCAUGUCAAGAACAUAGUGAACCACUUUUGUCUCGUUGCAGAGGCGUGAUGACCCGUCUGCAUUCCAAGGCCUUUGGACCUCCUCCAUGUUGCUGACCAGCAUGGCUGUCUUGCAGCCAGUCAGACAAGGACCUGGACUGAGAGAGGGAGCAGGACUCGCUACCCCCUCACCAACACUGUGACGAACAAAUGGGGGCAAAAAUGUCCCCAAGUACCUGAACUUCAGGAUGGAGAUCACCAUGGCAUAUCAAGGAUACAGUGAACUACUCCUGUCAUGAUGCAGAGAAGUGAUGACCCAUCUGCAUUACAUCGACCUUUGGACCUCCAUGUUGCUGGGAUGAGCAUGAUUGCCUUGCAGGGACCAGGACUGAUUACACCCUCACUAACACAUGGGGGCUAAAGGUGUCCAAGUACCUGGACUUCAGCUCUCUGCUGAUGUGUGUUGGACUUCAUGUGACAAUGAAGAACCUUGAUGAAAAACCAGGUUCUUCUGAAGAGGGUGGAGUGGUGAUCUACGAUGUUGACACACUCAGAUCAGUCCUUUGAUAAUGCUGCACUCAAAAAAACAAGACAAACAGGAAACCACUCUGGCCAGGAGGACUCUGCCUCCUGCAUGAAUGUCUAUGGCUGCCUGGACUAGGAGGGCAUGGUUCCUUCUUUUUAACAAGGCCAGACGUCCACUCUGGUUGCCCAGCAGGCCAAAUGUACUGUUGCAGUAACUGUGUGCACUUAGAAAAAGUAGCGUUAAAAAAGGCAGCGUAAACUGGGCAUGCAGGAUUGUUCAGCCCUUAAAAUUUAAGAGUUAAGCAAAUAAGCGUCACAGGAAUAGAACAUCUGUGGGAUAUUAGAGGUUAGACAGAAAAAUGCUUCAUUCAUUCAAACAUUCCCUCAUGUAGGCCACCCAAAUAGAAAAACUCUAGACCACGGGUGUCAAACUCAAGGCCCGGGGGCCAAAUCUGGCCCGUGGAAUUAUUAUAUCCGGCCCACAAGAUCA